AUGAUCUGCUUCAAUUGUAGUUGGCCGGGCCACUAUGCGGGGAAUUGUGUGGAGCCAAAAAAGUGUUUUAUCUGUGCUGGGAAUCAUAAUGUUAACAACUGUGCUGCUUGGGAAAAACCACAGCCUGCUGCCACUUAUUUUGGUAGUGCUGCUUCUGGACUGGGGUUUUAUCACAUUGAAGUUCUUGUGGCAGCCGAGUCUAGUUGGCUAAAUUACAAAAACUGUGUUGUUCUUAAGGUGGUCACAGGAGAGGUUUCUGCCUCUGAGCUGCUAAUACAACUGAAUGGAAUUUUCUGUAAGAACAAGGAGUGGCCAUGGCAAAUCAGAGAGUUGGAAAGCAAGAAGUUCUUAUUAAGGUUCCCACCUUGGAAGAAUGUGGAUGACUUAAUUGAAUUCCCUCCUAUUGAGCUGCCUAUUGCUGGAGUAUCUGUUAAGAUCUGUGAAUGGGAAGAUAUGUUGGAUGAGUUUGGGGCACUUACUGAAGUCUGGGUGCAGAUUGAUGGUAUUCCACCCAAGUGGUGUGCAUGGAAAGUAUUUGCCCAGAUUACUGCUUGCUUUGGUAUCCUUGUGGAUGUGGAAUGGAAUGGUAUUUUCAAGAGCUUUUAUGAAAAAAUCGAGUCAAAGUUGCCUGUAGAGACCCAAGGAAAAUUCCCUUUGAGAGAUUGGUGGAGAUGA
rnacentral:rRNA from 1 species